rnacentral:rRNA from 1 species
GACGAACGCUGGCGGCGUGCCUAAUACAUGCAAGUAGAACGCUGAAGAGAGGAGCUUGCUCUUCUUGGCUGAGUUGCGAACGGGUGAGUAACGCGUAGGUAACCUGCCUUGUAGCGGGGGAUAACUAUUGGAAACGAUAGCUAAUACCGCAUAACAAUGGAUGACACAUGUCAUUUAUUUGAAAGGGGCAAUUGCUCCACUACAAGAUGGACCUGCGUUGUAUUAGCUAGUAGGUGAGGUAAUGGCUCACCUAGGCGACGAUACAUAGCCGACCUGAGAGGGUGAUCGGCCACACUGGGACUGAGACACGGCCCAGACUCCUACGGGAGGCAGCAGUAGGGAAUCUUCGGCAAUGGGGGCAACCCUGACCGAGCAACGCCGCGUGAGUGAAGAAGGUUGUCGGAUCGUAAAGCUCUGUUGUAAGUCAAGAACGGGUGUGAGAGUGGAAAGUUCACACUGUGACGGUAGCUUACCAGAAAGGGACGGCUAACUACGUG